AAUGGGCGCAAGCCUGAUCUAGCCAUGCCGCGUGAGCGAUGAAGGCCUUAGGGUUGUAAAGCUCUUUCAGGGGGGAAGAUAAUGACUGUACCCCCAGAAGAAGCCCCGGCUAACUCCGUGCCAGCAGCCGCGGUAAUACGGAGGGGGCUAGCGUUGUUCGGAAUUACUGGGCGUAAAGCGCACGUAGGCGGACGAGAAAGUCAGAGGUGAAAUCCCAGGGCUCAACCUUGGAACUGCCUUUGAAACUUCUUGUCUUGAGGUCGAGAGAGGUGAGUGGAAUUCCGAGUGUAGAGGUGAAAUUCGUAGAUAUUCGGAGGAACACCAGUGGCGAAGGCGGCUCACUGGCUCGAUACUGACGCUGAGGUGCGAAAGCGUGGGGAGCAAA
rnacentral:rRNA from 1 species